UAUACGAACAAGUGGCUGUCGGUUGAAUUUUACACACAUCCGCGAUCACUUGUUGUAUGAA
rnacentral:pre_miRNA from 1 species